rnacentral:rRNA from 1 species
GAUGAACGCUGGCGGCGUGCCUAAUACAUGCAAGUCGAGCGAACGGACGAGAAGCUUGCUUCUCUGAUGUUAGCGGCGGACGGGUGAGUAACACGUGGAUAACCUACCUAUAAGACUGGGAUAACUUCGGGAAACCGGAGCUAAUACCGGAUAAUAUUUUGAACCGCAUGGUUCAAAAGUGAAAGACGGUCUUGCUGUCACUUAUAGAUGGAUCCGCGCUGCAUUAGCUAGUUGGUAAGGUAACGGCUUACCAAGGCAACGAUGCAUAGCCGACCUGAGAGGGUGGUCGGCCCCACGGGAACAGAUACAGGGCCAAGACACCCACGGGAGGAGGCAGUAGGGAAUCUCCGGAAUGGGGAGAAAGCCUGACGGACCACCGCCGCGGGAGGAAUGAAGGUUUUCGGAUCGAAAACCUUUUUUAUGGGGAAAGAAAAUAUGUGAAAGUAACUGUGCACUUCUGGAGGGUACCUAAUCAGAAAGCCAGGGCAACCUCCGUG